GGAGGACAUGGCUUCUUAGGGGUCGGCGGUGGAAGCUCUACCUUCGGCGGUGGGUCGUGAACUGGUACAGGAGGUGGGUGCUCAAUCUUCGGAGGUUUAGGUGGACAAGGCUUCUUAGUAAUCGGCGGUGGAAGUUCCACCUUUGGUGGUGGCUCGUGAACGGGGACAGGGGGUGGAACCUCUUCCUUUGGCGGUGGCUCGUAGACCGGAACCGGAGGAGGAACCUCCUCGGGAGGGCUGUAUUUAGGUGGACAGGGUAUCUUGAAUUUAGGAAAAGGUGGAAGUACCAAAGGCGGAUGAUCAAAGCCCUUGAAAGGAGGUAACUUAGGCAUAGGCCAGAAGAACUUGGAAACGCAAAUUUCGGGUGAAAACUUGAGGUUUUGUUUGAGACCCAAAACGUGUUUAUCCACGGACUUGGAUAAAAACACAAUCUUGGUGGAUUCAAG
rnacentral:lncRNA from 1 species